rnacentral:misc_RNA from 1 species
GAUGAAGGAACGCAGCGAAAUGCGAUAAGUAGUGUGAAUUGCAGAAUUCAGUGAAUCAUCGAAUCUUUGAACGCACAUUGCGCCCCUUGGUAUUCCAUGGGGCAUGCCUGUUCGAGCGUCAUCUACACCCUCAAGCUCUGCUUGGUGUUGGGCGUCUGUCCCGCCCCCGCGCGUGGACUCGCCCCAAAUCCAUUGGCAGCGUUCCUUGCCCCCUCUCGCGCAGCACAUUGCGCUUCUCGAGGGCGGCUCCGGGACGCGAUCCAGCAAGAUGACCACCGUCUUUGACCUCGGAUCAGGUAGGGAUACCCGCUGAACUUAAGCAUAUCAAUAAGCGGAGGA